ensembl:lncRNA
AUAAAUUGUCAGCAGCAUUGAAAUAGGCUACUUCUUACGUGAAUUAACGUGGAGGUGGAAAACACCCCAAUUCAAACUGUUGUUAAAAAAUACAACUUGUUAGAAAAUAAUUUGAAAUUGACAAGUUGAAACAUAGCCUAUUGUAAGGACCGACGCCUGCGUGGGAGCCCGAUAAUCUGGCAAUGAAGUAGCAGCCUGACGAGCUGGCUGGGCAUAAAAACCUGACGAUCCGACUGAGGCCCGAUGUGGGAUGGGUGCCUUCCGAGCCAAUGGGGGCAAGAACCUCUGGAGGCAGCUAGGGCGUGACAGCCCGACGAGCUGACUUAGGCACCCCCAGAUCCAUCGGUGUCAGCUCCCGGACCCGACUUCAACACCAACCCGAAUGCCAGCACUCCCAGAUGCUUCGUAUGGUGGCUUCAGCACUCUGUAAGGACUGACGCCGGAGAUGAGAAGCAGAGGACCUGAGCCUUAGGACCAUGCCUCGGGACUACCUGGCCUGAUGACUCCUUGCUGUCCCCAGUCCACCUGGCCGUGCUGCUGCUCCAGUUUCAACUGUUCUGCCUGCGGCUAUGGAACCCUGACCUGUUCACCGGACAUGCUACCUGUCCCAGACCUGCUGUUUUCAACUCUCUAGAGACAGCAGGAGUGGUAGAGAUACUCUUAAUGAUCGGCUAUGAAAAGCCAACUGACAUUUACUCCUGAGGUGCUGACUUGCUGCACCCUCGACAACUACUGUGAUUAUUAUUAUUAUUUGACCCUGCUGGUCAUUUAUGAACAUUUGAUCAUCUUGGCCAUGUUCUGUUAUAAUCUCCACCUGGCACAGCCAGAAGAGGACUGGCCACCCCUCAUAGCCUGGUUCCUCUCUAGGUUCCUUCCUAGGUUUUGGCCUUUCUAGGGAGUUUUUCCUAGCCACCGUGCUUCUACACUUUGCAUGCUGUUUGUUUCAAAGUUUAAUUUAAUGUAAAAACAUUUUAUUGUGGUGAUGGUAUCAACUGCAAUUUUAAUGCCUAGCUUUGGGUCAGUUCAGCUGUCCUACAAACACAAUAUUCUAUAACUGGCUAGUUUUGUCUCGUCUCUUGUCUCUCCUUAUGGGGCGGCAGUGGUUGGCGUGUUGGACUAGUAACCAAAAUGGUUGCAAGAUCAAAUCCCCGACCUGACAAUGUAUAUCUCUUUUGUUCUACCCCCUGAACAAGGCAGUUCCCAACCCACUUCCUAGGCCAUCAUUGAAAAUAAGAAUUUGUUCUUAACUGACUUGCCUAGUAAAAUAAAAAAAUGUCUGGUGUUAGAUCUAUCCCAGGGGACAAAUCCCAGAACUCCUAAUAUUCCUACAGGUGUAAGCUGCAUGUGGUCAUUGCAAAAACUUCACCCAGCUUGAGCGAAGAAUAUAUACUUUUUUUACAGAAAGUAUUCAUACCCCUUGACUUUUUCCACAUUUUGUUACAGCCUGAAAUUAAUGGAUAAAAAUAAAUUCUCACCCAUCUACACACAAUAGCCCAUAAUGUCAAAAUAAAAACCUGUCAAAAUUUUUUGCAAAUUUAUUGAAAAAUAAAUGUCUAAUUUAGUGUACAUCAGUCUUCACACCUGAGACAAUACUUUGUAGAAGCACUUUUGGCAGCCAUGACAUGACAUCUGUGAGUCUUUCUGGGUAAGUCUCUAAGAGCUUUCCAUACCUGGAUUGUACUUAAUUUGCCCAUUAUUCUUUUCAAAAUUCUUCUAGCUCUGUCAAAUUAGUUGUUGAUCAUUUUCAGGUCAUGCCAUAGAUUUUCAAGUAG